CACACUUUCUACUUGGGUUUUUUCGGUUCUUUUCUUUAUUUUUAAUUAUGUUUUUUUGGCUUGCAACUUUUUUACAAUUAAGCCAGUAACCACGUCAGGACAAUGACAUUGUCCCCAUGCUCUCACAGUUUCACACAGCACUGAUUAACAACACACGGCAAUUCUUCGCUUUGUGCAAUGCUUCUCUGACCCAUUUGAAAUUGAAAUAACAAAAAUCAACUUGAACACCAGAAUAAUCAUCACCAACACAUGGGAGAAGAAGGUUGUUGCUGGUUAAGAGAAUCAGUUUGGCGUUUAAUUGUGGGUUGUUAUUGGUGGUUGUGAACAGAGCCCAGAACUAACUUUUAGCAAAUGCUUCGUUUUUUUCGUCCUCUUUGUUUUUGGGCUAACUGAUUGCUUUGAUUCCCUUUGUCACACCACGACAGAAUCAAUAACCCUAUUGUAGGAAUGGUGAUAUAUAUAAUAUCUAGCCCUGGCUUCUCUCUUGCAGCGUCAUCCCUUUGAAGGUGCCAGGAUUCGGUGUGAGGAGAUUUUGCUUGAUGCUAUGCUUGCUAAUAAACUCAAAGGCUGUUCAGAAUUUAGUGCACAUAAAACUAAAAUUAGCUAUUUAUAAAAAGAAAAAAGCGGAACCGAAAUUUGUAUAUUCCACAACGUAUAAGGAAAAAGUUAAAAAAUAAAAAAUGCGCCAACAGGUUAUGUCACUUGAAGCCCACGGUUUUGAAUCUCCAACAACAGAAAGUGCUUUUCUUCUUCUUCAGCCAGUGAUCAGAGAUUGAAAGCUCUCGCAAGGUAGGAUGGGUGGGUGGGAUCAGAUUUGGGCUUGUGUUUGGUUGCUGUGUUUGCAUUUGGGUUUUCUGGGUUUGCUAAAGAUGAAUUGCUGGGUUUGUGUUUGUAUUCUUGUUGAUGUUUAGGUUUGUGUUUGGUUGACAGGAAAGAUCUGUUGCCGGGUUUGUUUUUGUGUUUGUGUUCUUUCUGAAAAUCAGUUUGUGUUUGUGUUUUUAUAUUUGGUUGACAAGAAAGGGUAAGAAAAUGCUAAAAAAUCUGGGCAUGUGUUCUUGUGUUUAAAUUUAGGUUUGUGUUCUUUAGUGUUCUUGUUGAAGAUGAAUGUGGAUCUAAAUUCAUGUAUUUUGGAUUUUAAUUCUUUUA